AGAGUUUGAUCAUGGCUCAGAUUGAACGCUGGCGGCAUGCCUUACACAUGCAAGUCGAACGGCAGCACGGGAGCAAUCCUGGUGGCGAGUGGCGAACGGGUGAGUAAUACAUCGGAACGUGCCCAGUAAUGGGGGAUAGCCCGGCGAAAGCCGGAUUAAUACCGCAUACGACCUACGGGUGAAAGCGGGGGAUCGCAAGACCUCGCGUUAUUGGAGCGGCCGAUGUCAGAUUAGCUAGUUGGUGGGGUAAAAGCCUACCAAGGCGACGAUCUGUAGCUGGUCUGAGAGGACGACCAGCCACACUGGGACUGAGACACGGCCCAGACUCCUACGGGAGGCAGCAGUGGGGAAUUUUGGACAAUGGGCGCAAGCCUGAUCCAGCCAUGCCGCGUGUGGGAAGAAGGCCUUCGGGUUGUAAACCACUUUUGUCAGGGAAGAAACGGCCUAGGUUAAUACCUUGGGCUAAUGACGGUACCUGAAGAAUAAGCACCGGCUAACUACGUGCCAGCAGCCGCGGUAAUUC
rnacentral:rRNA from 1 species